rnacentral:rRNA from 1 species
UACGUAGGGGGCAAGCGUUGUCCGGAAUCAUUGGGCGUAAAGAGCGUGUAGGCGGCCCGGUAAGUCCGCUGUGAAAGUCCAGGGCUCAACCCUGGGAUGCCGGUGGAUACUGUCGGGCUCGAGUCCGGAAGAGGAGUGUGGAAUUCCUGGUGUAGCGGUGAAAUGCGCGGAUAUCAGGAGGAACACCAAUGGCGAAGGCAGCACUCUGGGACGUGACUGACGCUGAGACGCGAAAGCGUGGGGAGCAAACAGG